rnacentral:rRNA from 1 species
GAUGAACGCUGGCGGCGUGCCUAAUACAUGCAAGUCGAGCGAACAGACGAGGAGCUUGCUCCUUUGACGUUAGCGGCGGACGGGUGAGUAACACGUGGGUAACCUACCUAUAAGACUGGGAUAACCUCGGGAAACCGGAGCUAAUACCGGAUAAUAUUUCGAACCGCAUGGUUCGAUAGUGAAAGAUGGAUCUGCUAUCACUUAUAGAUGGACCUGCGCCGUAUUAGCUAGUUGGUAAGGUAACGGCUUACCAAGGCAACGAUACGUAGCCGACCUGAAGGGGUGAUCAGCCACACGGGAACGAAGACACGGUCCAGACUCCUACGGAGGGCAGCAGUAGGGAAUCUUCCGCAAUGGGCGAACGCCUGACGGAGCAACGCCGCGUGAGUGAUGAAGGUCUUCGGAUCGUAAAACUCUGUUAUUAGGGAAGAACAAACAUGUAAGUAACUGUGCACGUCUUGACGGUACCUAAUCAGAAAGCCACGGCUAACUACGUGCCAGCCGCCGCCGUAA